CGCUGGGGCGCGGCGCGGGGAGGCCGAGCCUAAUCUCCGUCCCGCGUUCCUCCUCCUGCGCUCUUUUUCAUGGAAAGCUGUGCCAGCUUCUGCAAACGUACAGCUUCCUGAAAAAAUAUAACGGAGUUGAACAGAGAGAGCUUGUGAAACAAGAGAUCUUGAAGGCAAAGCACAACGGCAGGGAGAAGCUCAGCCUCAGAUAGGUGUACAUGGCUGCAGCCAGCAGAUGGGCAUGAAGACGCUAGCAGAGACACAGGCCAAAGAGCAGCAAGACCACCUCAGCUACGGAGCAGCCAGAGCGCCUGAAAAUGCGACAAGCACCAGGAUGGAUUUGUUGUGGUCAGAUGUUUUCGUCUUGCUCCGUGUUGUCUAGUCUUUAAGGAACUUAGAGAAGACCAUCUGUGCCCAAUGCUGCCAGCAUAUCUGCCGGAACACCUGGAAAAUAAAUUGUUGUUCUCAG